rnacentral:snRNA from 1 species
AUCGCUUCUCGGCCUUUUGGCUAAGAUCAAGUGUAGCAUUUGGAAUAUAAUCAAAACAAAUAUAAAAUCGGAACAUAGCUUUCCUGGUUUUCUUGAUAUUGUUUUCAUAGUAGUAGCAGGGACACCCCUU